UCCACUGGACAGCUCCCAUGUUAUGACCUCUGCGGUCUCUAUGUGGAGUGUGCCGAUCCCACCGGCUGUGGCCUUGGCUUUGACAGCUAUGCAUGGGAUUACCAGGCCUGCACUGAGAUCGAGAUGUGCUACGAGAGUAACAAUGUGACGGGUAUGUUCCCGCCCAUGACAUUCAGCAAGCAGCAGAGGGAACAGUUCUGCUCAAAGAGAUGGGGGGUGGUGGCUGAAGACCCAGUUCUGGGAUGAUGGUAGGCUGUAACUACCUAACAGUGCCUGGGUCUGUAGCUUUCUUAAAAAAAAAAAAAAGUUUUACCUCAUGAUUAUACAUCAGCUUCCACUUGCCUUUGGUCCUUUUAAUAUUCAUUGGAUGUUUUUAGUGAAAUGAGACCUCAAUGUUACAACCAUUUGAACUUUCUUUUCUAGAUCUCACCACCGCAAGCAAUAUAUUUUCCAUUGGUGAUCUUGUUCCUUGGGCUAAUGGAGGGAUCAGGAAGUCACUCAGUCCAUCACUGAUUGCAAUCAACAUACCAGAGGGAGCUCAUCAUCUGGAUUUAAGGGAGUCUAACCCUGCUGAUCCUGAGUCUGUGAUUAUGGCUUGGAAGGAGGAGUCUGAAAUCAGUGCUCAAUGGGUGAAAGCAGCAAGGAAGAAGUCAUUAUGAGUUCAUUUUUGUGUACAGUUUAUUUCAACAUUGUAAAAUAUUGAAUAAAUCCAUUUAUUUUUCAUUCCAUUUAUCACAGAAAUGGACAUUUAAAAGAAAUAUGAAUUUGUCAAAAAAACAACAACAAAAAAAAACAUACAAACUCACUCUUAUGUCUAAAUCAUCUCUUACAAAUUUCCAAAUUGAAUUGGGGUACUUGUAUUAGUAAAUAUGAUUAUGUACAGCUGUACUACAUAUUACUUGUCUUAUCAUUCCCGUUUUAGAAUAUUCUUUGAAAUUCAUGGCACAUCUUUGGUGUGUAUGAAUGAUUCAAAAUGAUGUUGAUUUGUCAAUAUGCAUGAGGCAGCUGAUAAUUUAAGACAUUUGCACAACAAUUGAGAGUGAGGCAUGAAAAGCCCUUCAUUUUAAAUCUGAGAUACAUAAGUUCAUUUGACAGUGUAGCUGUCUUCAGUUUCUCACACAAUUAGAGAGAAAAAAGUACACCCAGAAUGUGUGUACAGAUAGGAAGUUAAUCUAACACUUCCACACUGGAAUAUAAAUAAUCACAAAAGUAUUUAUUUACAAUAAAACAAAUCACAGAUAGCUUCACAACGAAACGAGAUGUUUAAAAUAGAUUGAUUUCUCAUAUAAACUUGAUUCUCUGGAUUGAAAAUAGA